rnacentral:lncRNA from 1 species
AGUGGCCAAAGCCCGCGAACAGGAAUAUUCCAAGUUCAGACAGAAGGGGGAGUCAGAUCGCUAUGAUCGCCAGGAACUUUACUUUUUGAGUCCAUUUUUAAUUGUUGCGCUACUGGUGCUGCCUGUUGAUGUUAGAUAGGCAGCUACAGUAGCUGAAUGAUGUUAACAUCUUCGGGUUUUGUUUCAUUAAAUGUAUUUUAUUUCAUCUGGGUGCUUGCAUCACCUACUAACACCCUGGUACUACCCGUAGCUCACGUUCUCAGUCCGAGAAAACACAGAGAGAGAAAGAACAACUUUUCAGAUGGUGCAUUGGAGACUGAUGUGUUCCUGUCCUGUCUUUUCACAAUACUAUUGCAGCUGUGCUAAUGAAGACGGGAUGCAGAUGAGGGCGGAGGUCAUCUCCGUAGCGUUCGACCCCAGCACCCGCAGCAUGCCACUCUGACUGCCACAGGUUGAAGUCACACCCAAGUUAAUUCUUCAAUUAGCAUGAGCCAGAUAUUCGAGGAAGAUCGGAGGGCCCGCCAAUCGAUGUCCAAUUAGCGAGGCCUCGUGGACCAGAGACGAGACUGUUUUAUGGGCUUUGAUGAGGAUGAUGGUGCUGCCACUAACAUACAUGAUGAAACAAGGUUUCCCUAUCUCCUUGCUCCACUUCCACAGCCCAAUCUGCCCUCACCCCCACCCCUCGGCUCAUUCGCAGGCAUCAGGUUUGUCUGCGGCUCAGUGGCCAUGGCGACAGUGUUGUCGGUGGGAGAUCGUGGGGUCAGGGGCCAAUCGCAGGUCACGUAGUUGACUAUCUGUCUGUGUCACAGGGUGGUCACCUUUGACCCGUGCCUUGCAGCCCCGUCUGAAAGAUGAGACAGAGAGCAGUUGUUUCGUGAGACAUCCAAGAGGAUAAAUGUCUGUUUGUUUAAACACCCAAGCCAGUCAUUCUAUCAUUUGAAGCAUUCACAUCACAGCGCAAUGCCCCUGCCCAGUAAAAACGAGUAUUAUUUCUCCCUUGAACUAAUGCACAGAGCCCUGCUGUUCUAACUGUCAUCUGUUAAAUUUCAGGACGUAACCUUGAGUCUAGCGUCUCCCCCCAUCUCCCCCUGGCUUUCAGCAAGCCCAUGGCAUCUUCAGAGGUUGGAGACUCUUGAAGUGUGAUCCAUUUAGAUAGUGGUUACUUUCUUCCUGUGCACACAACCACUCGCACACACACACACACACACACACACACACACACACACACACACACACACACACACACACACACACACACACACACACACACACACACGUGUGCCCGGACAAACACACACACACACAAUCACGUACACGCAGUCAUGCAGUUUUUUUGGUUGAAAGUCAUCCCAGAUAAGCUUGACAGACAGGUAGUAAAUGUUUGGAAAGUGUAUGUCGUGAGUCUGCUAAAUGACUCAAAUGUAAAUGUAAAUGUUAUGGUUAUAUGCUUCUUUAGGUACAUUUAUACUAUUUACAGUUUUAAAAUAGACAAGCAAUAACACCAUUAUAGUGUUUUAUUUUCAGGGUUUCAACUUCGAUCAGUUUCAAUGCCUGCUCAUUGCCUUCGACUUCAUUCAAAUACAUUCUGUUGUCCAAAUCAUCCCCAUAUGGUCCAUAUCAUCCCCCGUACGCUGUAUGUGAAGGUUUACAUUGAACAUUCCAGCCUUGUAUAUCAUCUCACUUACAUUCGCCUCACUCCAGCCCCACAUCUCCCCAUGCUCCAUCCCUCUAUUUUCUUAUGUUUUCCUCCUCUCCUCUCUCUCUCUCUAUUUCUCUCUCUCUCUCUCUCUCUCUCUCUAUUUCUCUAUUCCUCUCUCUCUAUUUCUCUUUUUCUCUUUUUCUCUAUUCCUCUCUCUUUUCUCUCUCUCUCUCUCUCUCUCUCUCUCUCUCUCUCUCUCUCUCUAUUUCUCUAUUCCUCUCUCUCUAUUUCUCUUUUUCUCUAUUCCUCUCUUUCGCUCUCUUUUUCUCUCUCUCUCUCUCUCUCUCUCUCUCUUUUUCUCUCUCUUUCUAUCUCUCUGUCUUUCUAUCGGUCUCUCUUUUCUCUGGCUCCUCUGGCUGGUCCCCCUGUGGCACACCGUGUCGUGUCCCUAAUUUAUUUAUAAUUAGUGCUCUUUGUCGGGAUGCGCGGGGAAUGUUAAAGUACAAGCCACUCCGCUCUGGGUACAAAUGGGCUAGUGUUCCUGCCUCUCCUCAACCCACCAACAUAGCGACCCACCGGCCAGUAGGGAGAGCUCUGCUGCUAGCCGCAACCACAGCCCCAGACAAAGGCCAGCACCUUCGGACGCAGCGGCACACACACGCGUACACGCACGGACGGACGCGGGCAUAUGCACACACGCUCACACAGAUCUACCGGUAAAUGGUUGAGACUGAACGGAAAGCGACGUACAGACUGCUUUUCUGCGUUAGUAAUAGGUGUUUGUUAUUGCGUUGCAAUUUUGAACAUUAUUUAGGGCGUAUUUGAAAAGGGUCCUGAGUGAAAUGUGAACGUGUUAGUGCAGAGUGUUCGUUUCUAGGUUUGCUUUGGUUGUUGGUGUAGAAAGACUGGGUAUGAAUUAUCACUGUUAGCAUUUCUUAUCACGUCUAUUAACGUCAACUCUGUCAUACUUCAUUAACCUCACCAAGAAUGGCAGUAGUGACAGGACACACACACA